UGGGGAAUAUUGGACAAUGGGCGAAAGCCUGAUCCAGCCAUGCCGCGUGUGUGAAGAAGGUCUUCGGAUUGUAAAGCACUUUAAGUUGGGAGGAAGGGCAGUAAGCGAAUACCUUGCUGUUUUGACGUUACCGACAGAAUAAGCACCGGCUAACUCUGUGCCAGCAGCCGCGGUAAUACAGAGGGUGCAAGCGUUAAUCGGAAUUACUGGGCGUAAAGCGCGCGUAGGUGGUUCGUUAAGUUGAAUGUGAAAGCCCCGGGCUCAACCUGGGAACUGCAUCCAAGACUGGCGAGCUAGAGGAGGGCAGAGGGUGGUGGAAUUUCCUGUGUAGCGGUGAAAUGCGUAGAUAUAGGAAGGAACACCAGUGGCGAAGGCGACCACCUGGGCUCAUACUGACACUGAGGUGCGAAAGCGUGGGGAGCAAACAGG
rnacentral:rRNA from 1 species